rnacentral:rRNA from 1 species
GAUGAACGCUGGCGGCGUGCUUAACACAUGCAAGUCGAACGGAAAGGCCCAAGCUUGCUUGGGUACUCGAGUGGCGAACGGGUGAGUAACACGUGGGUGAUCUGCCCUGCACUUCGGGAUAAGCCUGGGAAACUGGGUCUAAUACUGGAUAGGACCACUUCUUGGAUGUUGUGGUGGAAAGUUUUUUCGGUGUGGGAUGAGCUCGCGGCCUAUCAGCUUGUUGGUGGGGUAAUGGCCUACCAAGGCGUCGACGGGUAGCCGGCCUGAGAGGGUGUACGGCCACAUUGGGACUGAGAUACGGCCCAGACUCCUACGGGAGGCAGCGGUGGGGAAUAUUGCACAAUGGGCGCAAGCCUGAUGCAGCGACGCCGCGUGGGGGAUGACGGCCUUCGGGUUGUAAACUCCUUUCGCUAGGGACGAAGCGUUUUGUGACGGUACCUGGAGAAGAAGCACCGGCUAACUACGUG